rnacentral:tRNA from 1 species
GGAGAGGUGACCGAGUGGCCGAAGGUGCACGACUGGAAAUCGUGUGUGCGCUAACCCGCACCCAGGGUUCAAAUCCCUGCCUCUCCGCCA